rnacentral:rRNA from 1 species
UACGUAGGGGGCAAGCGUUGUCCGGAUUUACUGGGCGUAAAGAGCGUGUAGGCGGCCAAACAGGUCCGUUGUGAAAAACUGGGAGGCUCCAACCUCCCAGACGUCGACGGGAAACCGUGUGGCUAGAGUCCGGAAGAGGAGAGUGGAAUUCCUGGUGUAGCGGUGAAAUGACGCAGAUAUCAGGAAGAACACCAAUGGCGAAGGCAGCUCUCUGGGACGGUACUGACGCUGAGACGCGAAAGCGUGGGGAGCGAACAGG